UACGUAGGGUCCGAGCGUUGUCCGGAAUUAUUGGGCGUAAAGGGCGUGUAGGCGGUUUGUUAAGUCAUGUGUGAAAUCCCUCGGCUCAACCGGGGAACGACGCAUGAAACUGGCAAGCUAGAGUACCAAAGAGGGGGGUGGAAUUCCCGGUGUAGCGGUGAAAUGCGUAGAUAUUGGGAGGAACACCAGUGGCGAAGGCGGCUCACUGGACUGGUACUGACGCUGAUGCGCGAAAGCGUGGGGAGCAAACGGG
rnacentral:rRNA from 1 species